UACGGAGGAGGCAAGCGUUAUCCGGAAUUAUUGGGCGUAAAGCGCACGUAGGCGGCUUAGCAAGUCGGAUGUGAAAGCCCUCGGCUCAACCAAGGAAGUGCAUCCGAAACUGCUGAGCUUGAGUACUUAAGAGGAUCGCGGAAUUCCCGGUGUAGAGGUGAAAUUCGUAGAUAUCGGGAGGAACACCAGUGGCGAAGGCGGCGAUCUGGGAAGAUACUGACGCUGAGGUGCGAAAGCGUGGGAGCAACAGG
rnacentral:rRNA from 1 species